rnacentral:rRNA from 1 species
AACGAACGCUGGCGGCAGGCUUAACACAUGCAAGUCGAACGCCCCGCAAGGGGAGUGGCAGACGGGUGAGUAACGCGUGGGAAUCUACCCAGAUCUUCGGAACAACUGAGGGAAACUUCAGCUAAUACCGGAUACGCCCUACGGGGGAAAGAUUUAUCGGUUCUGGAUGAGCCCGCGUUGGAUUAGCUAGUUGGUGAGGUAACGGCUCACCAAGGCGACGAUCCAUAGCUGGUCUGAGAGGAUGAUCAGCCACACUGGGACUGAGACACGGCCCAGACGCGUACGGGAGGCAGCAGUGGGGAAUAUUGGACAAUGGGUGAAAGCCUGAUCCAGCCAUGCCGCGUGAGUGAUGAAGGCCUUAGGGUUGUAAAGCUCUUUCAGUAGGGAAGAUAAUGACGGUACCUACAGAAGAAGCCCCGGCUAACUUCGUGCCAGCAGCCGCCGUAA